GACGAACGCUGGCGGCGUGCCUAAUACAUGCAAGUAGAACGCACAGUUUAUACCGUAGCUUGCUACACCAUAAACUGUGAGUUGCGAACGGGUGAGUAACGCGUAGGUAACCUGCCUGGUAGCGGGGGAUAACUAUUGGAAACGAUAGCUAAUACCGCAUAAUAUUAAUUAUUGCAUGAUAAUUGAUUGAAAGAUGCAAUUGCAUCACUACCAGAUGGACCUGCGUUGUAUUAGCUAGUAGGUGAGGUAACGGCUCACCUAGGCGACGAUACAUAGCCGACCUGGGAGGGUGAUCGGCCACACUGGGACUGGGACACGGCCCAGACUCCUUCGGGGGGCAGCAGUAGGGAAUCUUCGGCAAUGGACGAAAGUCUGACCGAGCAACGCCGCGUGAGUGAAGAAGGUUUUCGGAUCGUAAAGCUCUGUUGUAAGAGAAGAACGGGUGUGAGAGUUGAAAGUUCACACUGUGACGGUAUCUUACCAGAAAGGGACGGCUAACUACGUG
rnacentral:rRNA from 1 species